UGACUUCACUUUAUUUUGCAUUUUAUUUAUAUUUCAAGGGAAAGAUUUACAGUCAAUCCUCAAAAUGGACAGAGGCAAGACUUCAUCAACAAAAAUGAUUUUGAUUUCAACUUAAUACGUUGAUAUAAAAUCUUUAAUACAAAUCCAUAAAGAUGAUUGUUUGAUUAAGCCAUUGUUGAUAUAAUCAAAAUCUCGACAUUGGAUGAAAUGCUUACAUCCGCAAAGUAUUUCCCUAGCACAGAUAUAACCACUGCAUCAAGCAUCUCCCAGAUAAAUUACAUUCAUUAAAAAACACAAGCUUAAGGAACAGAUUUCAAAUGAAUGAAAAACUAUUGAAAUGACAUAUUAUAGUUUGUUUGUGACCUCACAUAACAGUUUCCCCCACCUUUCCUCCAGGUACUCGACAAUGAUCCUCUAUUUGAAUUCCCUCUCUAAUGAAACGGAGAUGUUCUCCUCUGGCUUCAAGGGGAGGUGACUGAACGCAAUUUGAAAGUGUUUUUUAAAAAUGUUUUGUUUCUUUUGUGGUAUCACUCAAAGUAGAAGAUUUGUAUGACUACAAAAUGUACGCUGUGUCUUGGCCAUGAGCUGUAGUGGAGAAGGAUGAGUGGUAAGACUUCACUGGAGAGGAGAAGGAUGAGUGGUAAGACAUCACUGGAGAGGAGAAGGAUGAGUGGUAAGACAUCACUGGAGAGGUGAAGGAUGAGUGGUAAGACUUCACUGGAGAGGAGAAGGAUGAGUGGUAAGACUUUACUGGAGAGGAGAAGGAUGAGUACACAUUGCUUGUCUUUUCUAGGAACCUCUUCCUAGGUGCUAACUAGCCCGGAUGCCUGUCAGUUUGCCAGGCAUUGGCUGGUCCUUUGUCACUGUCCUGCCAAACCGGAGUAAGCUGGUGGUGUAUGUAUGAGAGGAUAAACACAGCACUUACUCUCUGGUCAGGGUGCCAGUCUUCCAGUCUGUCUCAGUCUGUUCUAGCUAGCUGUUUGGCAUGCAGGGCUGGCUGACUGUUCAAAUAGACUGAAGGCUACAAAAUGGUUGUUAGUCACAAUUUGAGGGGGUUUAGAAAUGUUAACAUGCAGAGCGCUGCUGAGACAUAGGCCAAUAGAGGGAGACAGGGAAUUUACAUAGGAGGCAGGCUAAGGUGUGUGGGGGUAAGGAGGGGGUGGGUGGUGUGAGGGAUGGUUAGGGUGAGGAGUGUAGGGAGUGAUUAGUGACAGACAGGUUGGAGGAUGGGUAUGUUCCAAAGUGGUUGGGAUGAGGUACAUGGGGAAAGUGUAAGGGGGUUUGAGUGAGGUGUGUUGAGGUGUUGGUACAUAAGGGGAGUCAGUGAGGUGUGUUGAGGUGUUGGUACAUAAGGGGAGUCAGUGAGGUGUGUUGAGGUGUUGGUACAUAAGGGGAGUCAGUGAGGUGUGUUGAGGUGUUGGUACAUAAGGGCAGUCAGUGAGGUGUGUUGAGGUGUUGGUACAUAAGGGGAGUCAGUGAGGUGUGUUGAGGUGUUGGUACAUAAGGGCAGUCAGUGAGGUGUGUUGAGGUGUUGGUACAUAAGGGCAGUCAGUGAGGUGUGUUGAGGUGUUGGUACAUAAGGGGAGUCAGUGAGGUGUGUUGAGGUGUUGGUACAUAAGGGCAGUCAGUGAGGUGUGUUGAGGUGUUGGUACAUAAGGGCAGUCAGUGAGGUGUGUUGAGGUGUUGGUACAUAAGGGCAGUCAGUGAGGUGUGUUGAGGUGUUGGUACAUAAGGGGAGUCAGUGAGGUGUGUGGGGGUGUAUUGCAGCUAACUUCAGUCUAGAUUAUUUGAAUGAUAAAUAUGGGCAUUAGAAAACAUUAGAUAACAUUAGGUAACAUUAGCUGAGGUACUUGGGGGAUGGGAGGAAGUCUGGGGCUCUGGCGAUCGUUGACAUUUUUCGUACGGUCCUGUCGCCGUACAGCAAAUCUCCUCCUGCUCAUCGUAAUGAGGGCCUGCCAGCCAGCCAGAUGGGGCUAGCGCCUGUCUGUCAAUCACAGGUUUCCAUGGUGAUUCAUUGACAGUCCCUCAUGACAGUCCUCAUACUGGACACCCUGGAGAGAGAGAGGGGGGGGGAUUAGUGAGACAGACCUCUAAAGGUCAGCAGUCAGUCAGUCCAGCCAGCAACAGUACGUAUCUCUCCCAGUCUCUUGUGUGCACACAGAGUGGCAGGCUGUGGGACAUAACACAUACAGUAGGUCCAAUAAUGGACCAGGUAGAGUCAUUAUUUAC
ensembl:lncRNA